rnacentral:rRNA from 1 species
GCUUACGGCCACACCGGCCUGAGUACGCCUGAUCUCGUCCGAUCUCGGAAGCUAAGCGGGGUCAGGCCUGGUUAGUACUUGGAUGGGAGACCGCCUGGGAAUACCAGGUGCUGUAAGCU